rnacentral:rRNA from 1 species
GGCCUAUCAGCUUGUUGGUGAGGUAACGGCUCACCAAGGCGACGACGGGUAGCUGUUCUGAGAGGAAGAUCAGCCACACUGGGACUGAGACACGGCCCAGACUCCUACGGGAGGCAGCAGUGGGGAAUCUUGCGCAAUGGGCGAAAGCCUGACGCAGCGAUGCCGCGUGCGGGAAGACGGCCUUCGGGUUGUAAACCGCUUUCAGCAGGGACGAAAUUGACGGUACCUGCAGAAGAAGCUCCGGCCAACUACGUGCCAGCAGCCGCGGUAAGACGUAGGGGGCGAGCGUUGUCCGGAAUUGUUGGGCGUAAAGGGCUCCUAGGCGGUUCAGUAAGUCGACUGUGAAAAUCCAAGGCUCAACCUUGGGACGCCAGUCGAUACUGCUGUGACUCGAGUUCGGUAGAGGAGUGUGGAAUUCCUGGUGUAGCGGUGAAAUGCGCAGAUAUCAGGAGGAACACCAACGGCGAAGGCAGCACUCUGG